AGAAGAAGAAGAAGAAGAAAGGCACAAAAGAAAAGUGCCAAAGAAGAGGAAAAAAUGUAAGAAAAGAUGAAUGUUGAAAUGGGUAUCGCUCUUCAUCUCAUAUGUGAGACAUCUGAUUCCACAAAUUCCCACUUUCUUUCACCUUUCUUCCUUCCUUCCUUCUCUGAAACCUGAGGGAUUUUGGAGAAUGGGGAUUUCUUUUUUUCUUUUUUCUUUUCAGGAAAAUGCUCAAAUCCCUUCUUUGAGAUCUGAGCUUCAAAAAUGUGGGUGUGAAGAGAGAGAGAGAGAUAUAGGGAUUUAGAGAGUGGAGCGGAG
rnacentral:misc_RNA from 1 species